CACGUAGGGGGCAAGCGUUGUCCGGAUUUAUUGGGCGUAAAGAGCUCGUAGGCUGUUCGAUAAGUCGGGUGUGAAACCUCCAGGCUCAACCUGGAGACGCCACCCGAUACUGUCAUGACUAGAGUCCGGUAGGGGAGCGUGGAAUUCCUGGUGUAGCGGUGAAAUGCGCAGAUAUCAGGAGGAACACCAAUGGCGGAGGCAGCUCGCUGGGACGUGACUGACGCUGAGACGCGAAAGCGUGGGGAGCAAACAGG
rnacentral:rRNA from 1 species